CCAUAUGAAUAUCAAAGAAGUUUCGGCGACAAUGCAAGGAGCAAUAGGAAAGAGAGAGCAGCAACUUUCCCCCAAAAUCUUUGGAUUGGAAUUAACAUAUCACACAACAUGGAAUACGAUUUUCUUGAUAGAGCUCAAUGAGAAAAACGAAUCAGCCGACUCAAACGAAGUCUUGGUUUGUUCCUGAUAAUUAAGUACUUAAGGCAUUGUUUUCGCUAAACUGUAAGUUUUAGUUUUGUGCCAAACUAUUAUGUAUUAUUGGUUUGACUCGACAAAAGGAAUCAAAAAAGUAACAAAUUUGACUUCAACCCAAUUUUUCUCAAGACAUAUCCAAGAAAAGGCCCAAAAAAGUCUUGGAUAAGUCCUAAAAUUUUUGGAUAAAAGUUAUAAUUUUCUACUUCUCCGAUUCAUCUCGUCAAGACUAACCAACAGGAGUAAUACAUAAAAGUUGGACAAAAAACUAACAAACGCGAGAAACAAAAUUUGAAUAAAGAUAAAAUAAAAAAGUUGUAAUCUACAACUUGUAAUUUAGUUGAAACAAGGCCCAAGCCUUUUGCCAAUUGAUUCUCUUUUUAUUGCCUAGUUUGUGACUCAUCUGUAAAUUAUCCUUGCGUCCAAACACCCAGCGUUUUCUGUUUCCGUAAGUCUGUCAGACACUGAUAACUUGGGCUAGAUUGUGCACUGACUGAUAAUUUGGGCAUAAUUGUGCACUGAUUGUGAUGUGGGACCCAUUAUGCGUCUUAUACAAACGAUUCGAAUAGGUCAUUAAAUUUAAAAAAUAUUUUUUCAAAGACUCCCACCAAAAAUCAGCUCAAUCCGAUAUCUAAAAGCACUCAAUUUAAUCAUCUAAGUUUUCAUUCAAUAGUGGGCCUCACAUCACGAUCAGCGCACGCUCUGUGCCUAAGUUAUCUGGGUCAAUAGCAUCUUUUCUUUCCGUUUAAAUUUAGGAAGCUGAUUUUUGCGCUCCAAAAAAAGUCUUAGGCACCUUUUGUCUUCAUUAGGCAAACUUUCUGAAUCACCCUCUCAAUCUAAAACUUUUCCGUAGUAAAGUUCUUUUUUUUUCCUUGAAGAGUUCUUUAUAGGUUUUUACACUGCACAAAACACCUCAAACACUCCACAUUUUUACGUACUUUAAGGAACUUUUCUGGGGGAAAUUUUUCAGAUUGAGAGGGUAAUUUAGAAAAUUUGUCAAAUAAAGACAAAAGAUGGAGCACCUUAGGUUAUUUUUGAUCGCGAAAAUCAUUCCCCUUAAAUUUAAGGCUCAAUCCGAAUAUCAGGCACUUUUAUUAUCCGAAUCUUAAAUUUAAUGCUCAACCCGAAUAUCAGGCACUUUUAAUGCUCUGGAAUUACACUGCACAGUCCUCUAAAAAUCGUCAAACUCAAAUCCCAAAAUUGCAGUACAGUCCCAAUCCAAGGGCUUUGAGAAAGAUGUGGCCCACACAAAAGUGAUGGCGACAACCUUUGUCUUUAAUUACAUCAAUGUACGACAGACCUCAUGAAUUGUCACUACAAUCACAACAGGCCUUGUUCUCCGUUGUUUUUUUGAAUUUUUUUUAGCCGUGUUGUCUUAAUUUAUGCUGUGUUUGGAUGAAUUUUUUUGGGGUUAUAAAUGAAGAAAUAAAUAGAGUAAUGAUUAUAAGUAAAGAUAACGAAUGGAGAGAGAUAGAGAGAAAAAUGAUAGGAGAUAAGAGUAGUGAGUGAAGAAUAAUGAUGAGAAGUUUGGAUAAUGAAUUUUUUUUGAGUUGAAUUUUUUUUUUUCCAAAAACCAAAGCAAACAAGGCUUUAAAUCUUGUUUGUUAAUUUUGUGACAAUUUUUUUAUGUGAACUAUUGAUUUAUUUCGAUGAGAAAAAUCAAAAUAAUUAAAAUUUAUUUAUAAAAACAUCCUAAAUAAAGUCCCAAAAGUCAAUUUUUUUUAAAAAUUUUUAGGCUUUAUCUUAGAUAUUUUUAAAUAUAAUUAGUAAAAAAAAUAAAUUUUUUUGGUGCCUCUCAUCGAGAUGUAUCAAUAAACACAAAUAGUUGGGGCAAAACUAACAAACGUGAAUUUUAUUGGAUAAAGACAAAACGCCAAAAAUCCCUAAAAAUAACUAAGGAGAACAAGGCCUAAACUUCGGUUAGCCCAAUGUUCAAUCACACACCCACCAACAACUAUGGAUGCCCGGAUAGCGCAAGGUUCGGGCAGUUCAUUUUUUUGGUUAAUGGUUCAUAUUUCAAAACAGGAUCCUACAAAUAAGAUAUUUAGAUAUUUUUAGCAAAUUUGGGCUAUUAAAAACACUUUUGAAGGGCUCGAAUUACGCACUACAGUAUUCCGGUUUUUGACAUAACUAUGGUUUGUUUGGUUUAGUUUUUGAAAAAAAAUUUAUGAGAGUAAUAAAGAUAAUAAGUGGAAAGAAAUAGAGAGUAAAAUAUAAAUAGAAUCUUUUGAAAAAUACUUUUUAAAAAGUAAAACAAACCUAGUUUUUGAAGGGUUAGAGGCUCGGGAUUGUCUUUUUGUAAAGGUUGUACCUAUGAACCCAAGUUAGAUUUACCCUACCUUGGGUUAAAAAAAAAUGCAUUGGAUACCAUCACGUCAAUAAUUGAUGCGUCUUUGAAGAAAGGGAAAAGUAAGAGCUAUAUAAUACCACCAAUGAAUGCGUAAUGAGUCAAGGACAUCAUGAUGCAAAUUAACAUAUGAGUCAAAAAUCACAAAAAGAACUCUCAUUGAUCCAAUCAAAAGUGAAAAAAAUAAAAGGUGCUUCACAACCAAAAUGUUUAUCAAGACAACUUUCCCUAAAAUAAAGAUGUUCAUCAAGACCGAAUUUGGAGAUCGUAAAUCCGACGGCUCGGAUUUAAUCCUGACAAUGAACGGAUCUCUUUCGGUAUGUCUAAAGGAAAGUUUGGGUGUGACAUAAAUUCAUAGUUUUAUAUUUGUGUCUAGAGCUAUCUAAUGUAAAUUCCUAUUAUUCUUUCCUUUCAAAUUCAAGUCGUUUUUCAUAAUAAAAAAAAUUUAUCUCUAUUGAAUUUUGGUUGCCGGGACUCUUUCUCUCAUUUGAUUCAGCAACAAUACAAUUAAUAGAGGGAUCGAAACAUUUUAAAAAGCUCAAUACUAUAUGCGGGGGGGGGGGGGGGGGGUGUGGGUUUGGAAAGACAAUUACGCGCUAAUUCUCCGCCAUUUUUGUACUUCAGGACUCUUUUUCCUACACGGUUCGUAUUUUUUUUUAAUAGGUUUUUUUUCCACACCACCCAAAUGGAAUCUACUAAUACUUAUAUAUAUAUAUAUAUAAUAUAUAUAAUAUAAAAAGGAGGAGAGCUAAAAAUGCUUUUUAUAAAAAGCAAUGCUUUCCAUAAGAAGGGAAAUGCCCAUCCCAAUAAAGGUUACAUGUAGGGAAAAAGACAGAGAGACUUUAACCCCCGCAUUCAGACUUGGUUAUUCAAUAUCUCAAUGACGAUCAAUAUAUUCAUAUUUUUUUGUUUAAAAAACUUUGGUAGCAUUUUUAAUAUGUGUUAUUUAUUGAAUCCAUUAGGCAAAUAGCGGACACGGGGCGUAGGGGACCGUAGUUUCUUUUAAACUUCGAAAGAUGUCCUUUGAAUUCUUCAAAUAGUUGCCUUUCAAAAAAAAAAAAAGGAAUUCUUAAAUAGUUAAAAGCUGGUCCCAAAGAAGCCCCCCAAAUAGAUUAUCAAACUAGCUAACCUAAACUUUUUACCCUCUAAAAUAAGAUUUGGACUUGGGUUCCUGUAGUGCUAUCGCUUUAUUUUAUAUGUACUCUUACCACAAGAAAAAAGCAAUUAAUCAUACAAAAAUUUAAACCAAAGAGCGCCAAAAGUGACAUGCUGCAAAUUAAAUAAGGCUUUUCCAUAUCCUUUUUAUGCUUUAACUAAACGAGAAUUCAGGUAUUUCAACUGCCUUUGAGAAUGAGCGCAGCGCACAAUCUUAAAAUUUUUAACGAGUGCACAAAUAAUGAUUUUCCCACGUAAUGUGAUUUAUCGUGUGAUUUUUCACGUUAGGAUAAAUGACUGUCUGAGUUAUCUAUUAUAUAGGUUUCAGUGUCUUUUUGAUAACUCAGGUGUCCGGGUAAAAAAAAAGGGCACAUUGGGCAUUGUAGCAGCACACACUGAAU